AUUGAACGCUGGCGGCAUGCCUUACACAUGCAAGUCGAACGGCAGCACGGGAGCAAUCCUGGUGGCGAGUGGCGAACGGGUGAGUAAUAUAUCGGAACGUGCCCAGUAGUGGGGGAUAACUGCUCGAAAGAGCAGCUAAUACCGCAUACGACCUGAGGGUGAAAGGGGGGGAUCGCAAGACCUCUCGCUAUUGGAGCGGCCGAUAUCAGAUUAGCUAGUUGGUGGGGUAAAGGCCUACCAAGGCAACGAUCUGUAGUUGGUCUGAGAGGACGACCAGCCACACUGGGACUGAGACACGGCCCAGACUCCUACGGGAGGCAGCAGUGGGGAAUUUUGGACAAUGGGCGCAAGCCUGAUCCAGCAAUGCCGCGUGCAGGAAGAAGGCCUUCGGGUUGUAAACUGCUUUUGUCAGGGAAGAAAUCCUCUAGGUUAAUACCCUUGGGGGGAUGACGGUACCUGAAGAAUAAGCACCGGCUAACUACGUGCCAGCCGCCGCCGUAAUAC
rnacentral:rRNA from 1 species